AUUGGGAAAGCAGAGAAACCCUAAUUUCACAACCAAAAGGCAAAGGAUUCAGCGGAACAAAGAGAAAGAGAUGAUGAAGAACUCGUCGGCGCAAACGAUUUUCGCGAGUGUUAGGAGAGGAUUCUCAUCAAUCGCGGAUUCCUCCGUGUCUCCGAGGGCCAAGCAUGUGUGGAAGGAGCAGGACAAAUUUGUUCUUGGUUUAGCAUUUGUGGGAGGAUGGUUCGGCAAAGCUGCAAUAAAUACUUACAAGAGAAGAGAGCAUUGCUUAAGAGUAGGCAAGUCCAUCGAGGACGAGGAAAAGCGUAUCCGUAUCCGAGGGGAAAUUCGUAAUAAGGGAAAGAAGAAGGAUGAUUGAUGUCUAGGCUACUAAUACUACCUGUGUGUUGUUCGUGGGAAACUCGAUCUAGACUUCGUUUUAUCUAUCAUCCCUGACUUAUUUGCGUAAUAAUAAUGGACGUUUGUGGUGUGUUUUAUUUUUAUUUUUAUGAUAUCUCUACUGCUACUACUUAUUUGUGUGUAAUAAUGAAAACAACAAAGAGGAUGAGAAACUCUUCUUACCUCUGCAACA